rnacentral:rRNA from 1 species
GAUGAACGCUGGCGGCGUGCCUAAUACAUGCCAGUCGAGCGAACGGACGAGAAGCUUGCUUCUCUGAUGUUAGCGGCGGACGGGUGAGUAAUACGUGGCUAACCUACCUAUAAGACUGGGAUAAGUUCGGGAAACCGGAGCUAAUAUCGGAUAAUAUUUUGAACCGCAUGGUUCAAAAGUGAAAGACGGUCUUGCUGUCACUUAUAGGUGGAACCUCGCUGCAUUAGCUAGUUGGUAAGGUAACGGCUUACCAAGGCAACGAUGCAUAGCCGACCUGAGAGGGUGAUCGGCCACACUGGAACUGAGACACGGUCCAGACUCCUACGGGAGGCAGCAGUAGGGAAUCUUCCGCAAUGGGCGAAAGCCUGACGGAGCAACGCCGCGUGAGUGAUGAAGGUCUUCGGAUCGUAAAACUCUGUUAUUAGGGAAGAACAUAUGUGUAAGUAACUGUGCACAUCUUGACGUUACCUAAUCAGAAAGCCACGGCUAACUACGUG